CUUGCAUGCACAUGAGUCCUCUCUCCCUCUCUGAAAAUAUACUUUAGCUUUAAUAAAUUUGUAAGACAUCUGCCAUUCCAAUGCUUUGUUAUGGAGAGACGGGGACCGAGAAAACUGUGAUGGUAUCAGAUCGAAUAUGACCUAAGUUCAAAUCCUACAGAAAAUACUCAUUUUGUAUAUUCAGGCAUGACUACUCCAUGGAGAUCCCAUUUCCUGGGCCAUAAAAUGGGAUGGUUGUUUAUAUUUACAGAGCUUUAAGAUGGUAUCUUGAUAUUUUGGGCAUUCAAAUUUAUGCAAGUUGAUAUGGAAACACAACCAUUUUAAAGCCAAAUUAAUACUGCCAGGACCAUAAGAUUAUAUUGAAGACCAAAAUACUAAACUUUUGUGUUCAUGUGUGUGCGUGAGAGAGAAAUCUUCCCAUGAGGUUCCAACUUCCUGCUAGAGCACUUGCAAAGCACCACUAUUCACAUGAAGUAUUCUACUCAAUCCACUUUAGAUGGCUAAAAUGCAGUAACAAGGAAAAGAUUUAUCCUCCCACUGGAGCAAACUAUAUGAAGUAGAAAAAUAUUGCUCAUCAGACAACAAAUAAAGGACAGUGAGCCCUGAACAUGGACAAAUAUGGUGAGCCCUUGAAAUACUCCAGUUUACUGUACUGAGAGAAUUUUCACGUUUCACUGCAGGGACAGGAAACCUGGAGGAGCCUGGCUGACUCCCAAGGUGGCCAUAGUUCUCAAAACAGAGUGCUAGAGAAAUAAGAUAAUUCAAUUUUUGAUAAAAAAUGAUUACAAUAUAGUAUGAGGUUUAUAAAUAGCCAAGGUAAAAUGUAUGGCAAUAAGAGCACAAUGGUUGGAAGAGAAGAAACGGAAGUAUACAAUUUAAAGUUCUUUUUCUCACUGUGAAGUGGCAUAGUAUCAUUACAAGUGCAUUGUGAUGUUAAAGAUGCAAACUACAAACCCUAAAGCAAUCACUGUCAGGAUAACAAAGAGCAAUUGACAACUGGUCAAAAACAGGAAAAAACAGAUUCAUAAAAAUAUUCAAUCUUAAAGCACAAAAAAUGGGGAACCAAUUAAAUAGAAAGCAAAUAGAAACAUGAUAACUCAAAGGUAAUCAAAUCAACAGUCGCAUUACAUAGGAAUAAUUAAAAAGUAAAGAUUUCCCCCAAUUAAAAGACAAAGAUUGUCAUUUAGAAAAAAAAAAAAAAAAAGAGGAUUUUACGUCUUGGUGCAGUGGUUAACAAAUCUGACUAGGAACCAUGGAGUUGCAGGUUCAAUCCCUGGCCUUGCUCAGUGGGCCAGGGAUCAAACCUGCAUCCUCAUGGAUACUAGUUAUAACCCACUGAGCACAAUGGGAACUCCCAGGGUUUUUAAUUUUUUGCAGAGGUUCCCAGCUAGGCAUUGAACCUGCACCACAGCAGCCACCGAAGCCACUUCAGUGACAAUGCAGAUAUCCUUAACCUGCUGCACCAGAGGAGAACUCACAGAAGACUGGUUAUUUUAAAUACCCAUUGUGCUUUAAAUAAUAAUUAAGGAGCUUUAAAAAUCCAUUUGCUUACUUUGGUAAUCUCUAAUUACUUUCAGUUUUCAUAAUACUCAUUUGCAGAAAGGAAUUACUUUCAGUGAAAAUUCUGAGUUUACAACUGUUAAAGCACACAAAUCCUAAAGAGUGUUUAUUUCAAUAAACAAAGAUUCAAACAUAAAAUUGUGACCUAAAUUAUCAAACUUAAAUGCAAAUAAUGUUAAUAAGCCUACAGUCACAAGUAAAUGAUAGCAGUGUAAAAAAGUGGAUAUAGAUAGCUAAGAUCUAGAAAGCUUUCAUACAUGGAUGCAUAGUUCUCCUGGGAGAGAAAAGUGAAUUUCUCAAGAUCAGGCCAUUUUUCAUAGUUGUUUUCAUUAAACUAUAUAAUAGACUUUCCUAGAGUUAAGAGAAAAAAUAUAUGUAUACACCUAAGGUACAUCCAAAGUUAAGCCGAGAAUACAAACAACAUGAAGAAACCUGUCCUAAAGUAUUCACUUUUUUCAAUUAUCUAGAUAUUCUGAGGAAGAAUGAAUUUACAUUGGCUUUUUUCUAAACAAUUACUUUCAUUUUCACUAUGCUAAUAGAAAAUUGAUUAUAUUAGGACAAGUAGAUUACUGAAUAAUUUUAUGAGUUAACAUGGGAAAUUAGAUGGCAUGUCAUGUACCUUGGUGGUGACAGUUAAUCCUUUUUGAAGAUAAGUUAUGCUGUAUAUAAUUUUUUUAAUGGAAUGGCACAUAUUCCCAAUGGAAACUAGAAAUUUUCAAUCGAACUUAACUAUCAGAGCUUAACAUAUUAAUGAACCAUACCAAAAAGUUUUCUGCAAUGGACAAUAAUGUUAUUCACCUCUCAAUCUACAAUGGUAUGUUAGUAAAAUGUUUUUAUUCCAAAAAAGAGAACCAUGAAUUUGCUAGCUGGCAUGUCUAAAAAUUUCUGGUUCAAAUUAGCCUAAAACCACCAUGAUUUUUUUCUUUAAUGUAUUUAUUUAAAGGAAUUUAUUAAGAUGACCAAACUAAUUUGGCUGAUGAAUGGCCAACAGAAAAUGAAUCCAUGCAAACAUCUAAAUGGCCAGCUUUUUGUAGUCAUGAUUCAGGAAGAAAAUUGGUAUUAUUUGAUGUACCUAACAAGACAAUUACAGAAUUUAUUGAACUAAUGCAAGUAAAGUUUCUAUGUCACAGUACAUGGUGAAGAGUAGAUGCUUAAAAAACACUAGUUUCCUUAUUUUUUCUAUGAAAAUUCAAAAUUUGUAUUGUAUAUAUGAAAUAAAAUGAUAGAUAUAUUGAUAUUUUUGCAAGAAAGGGUAUAUUUUGGUAAAUAAAUAAAAUACAUUUUAUUUAUAUGUGUGUUAUUAAACACAAAGAAUGCUAUAUAUAUAACAAUUUUCAACAAAAAUUAUAUAAUCAUCAUUGAACUUCUUUCAAAGGAGAUUUCUGAUGAAUAUCUUUGGAACUUUCAGCUAUAGAAAAUUCAGUGUGUUCACUCAGUUCUAAAUGGAAGAGUUAAAGUUCAUAUCUGUAACAAUGUCCUUUAAUUAAAUAUACAUACUAAUUAAGCAUAUCAUGCAUAAAAAAUUAAAAUGAAUAAACAUAUGGAUAUUUCAUAUAUGUCUCCAGGGAUACUAGCACUGUUGGCAUAUCUUAGUGCAUAUGAUUGAGAAAGUUAAUAUUAAUUGUUAAUAAAAAUACAUGUUCUGUUUUGUAAUAUAUUUUGCACUUUUUACUCAGUGAAGUAGAACCUUCUUCCAUUACGUAAACGCUUUC
rnacentral:lncRNA from 1 species